AUUGAACGCUGGCGGCAGGCUUAACACAUGCAAGUCGAGCGGAGAUGAGGUGCUUGCACCUUAUCUUAGCGGCGGACGGGUGAGUAAUGCUUAGGAAUCUGCCUAUUAGUGGGGGACAACAUUCCGAAAGGAAUGCUAAUACCGCAUACGCCCUACGGGGGAAAGCAGGGGAUCUUCGGACCUUGCGCUAAUAGAUGAGCCUAAGUCGGAUUAGCUAGUUGGUGGGGUAAAGGCCUACCAAGGCGACGAUCUGUAGCGGGUCUGAGAGGAUGAUCCGCCACACUGGGACUGAGACACGGCCCAGAAUCCUACGGGAGGCAGCAGGAGGGAAUAUUGGACAAUGGGCGGAAGCCUGAUCCAGCCAUGCCGCGUGUGUGAAGAAGGCCUUUUGGUUGUAAAGCACUUUAAGCGAGGAGGAGGCUACCUGGAUUAAUACUCUAGGAUAGUGGACGUUACUCGCAGAAUAAGCACCGGCUAACUCUGUGCCAGCAGCCGCGGUAAAAC
rnacentral:rRNA from 1 species